ensembl:lncRNA
UUGAACUGAACCUACAACCUUUAUUGCGCAGGAACAAAGCUGUGAGCGGUUAUUGGAGGACAACGCUCUCCUCUGAGUGGGGAAUGGAGAAACACACAGAGACAAAGAGAGAGGGACAGAGGAGAGAGAGACAACAAGAAAGGACAGAGGAGAGAGAGAACAAGGGAAUGAAGGAUGGAGAAGGAAGAAAAGAGAGGUGGGGAGGAGGGAGUGGAUGGACAGCACUCUGUUUGCAUCACACCUCUACAGACAGGUCCUGAAGGGAAAGAGAGGACUCCACUCCACUCCACAGGAUUUCACAGCUCUCUGAUAGGCUUUACACACUCCUGGGCCUUUCCUGGGGAUGUCCUGGGGUUCUUCUGGGGAUGUCCUGGGGUUCUUCUGGGGAUGUCCUGGGGUUAUCCUGGCCCUCUCCUGGGGAUGUCCUAGGGUUCUCCUGGGGAUGUCCUGGGGAUGUCCUGGGGUUCUCCUGGCCCUCUCCUGGGGAUGUCCUGGGCCUUUCCUGGGGAUGUCCUAGGGUUCUCCUGGGGAUGUCCUGGUGUUAUUCUGGGGUUCUCCUGGGCCUCUCCUGGGGAUGUCCUGGGCCUCUCCUGGGGAUGUCCUGGGGUUCUCCUUGCCCUCUCCUGGGGAUGACUACCCCACUGUGAAAAGCCUGUGUCCCACAGAGUGACGCAAGGUCAUGGAAGGGGAUCACUCAGGAUGGCAGUUAACACUUAGCUGGAGGUAUAUUUUGCUGGCUGGCUGGCUGGCUGGCUGGCUGGCUGGCUGGCUGGCUGGCUGGCUGGUGUGUGUGUGUGUGUGUGUGUGUGUGUGUGUGUGUGUGUGUGUGUGUGUGUGUGUGUGUGUGUGUGUGUGUGUGUGUGUGUGUGUGUGUGUGUGUGUGUGUGUGUGUGUGUGUCCAAAUCCCACCCCACCAGGACCUGUUAUAGCCAGAAUCAGAGGGAGGAGGAACAGAGGGAUGGAGAGAGAUUGACAGAGGGAACAUAACAUGAGGAAUCUGUCAUUCAGAGAUGGACAGAGAAGAGGGGAGGAGAUAUAGAAAGAAAGGAGGGGGCUGAGAGAGCAGGAGUGAGGGAAGGAUGGUGGUGCUUCAGUGUGUAGGUGGGCUGGUCAUUACCCUAAUUUCAUACCCCAAUGUCUAUACUACAGAUGUCCAGGGAGAGAGAGAACGAGGGAAGAGGUGAGACAGCGAGGGAAGUAACUCUCUUGCACAUUGCGGCAGACAGAUAUGAUAAUGCAGUGGGCAAUGAGUACACACACACACACAUCGGACAUUAAGUAAAUGAACCUGGCCCAUUACUGUAAUAACUAUAGGUGGCGUGUGUUCUGACAAUAAUAAUAAUACAGCCUUACACACCGUUACACACCGGGGAGAGUCAGCUACAGAGCACAACACAAUCUGAGAGAGGGAGGACAGGAGGGGGAAGGAGGAGAGGAGAGAGUCAGCUACAGAGCACAACACAAUCU